AACGAACGCUGGCGGCAGGCUUAACACAUGCAAGUCGAACGCAUCCUUCGGGAUGAGUGGCAGACGGGUGAGUAACACGUGGGAACCUACCCAAAGGUACGGAAUAACACAGGGAAACUUGUGCUAAUACCGUAUGUGCCCUUCGGGGGAAAGAUUUAUCGCCUUUGGAUGGGCCCGCGUCGGAUUAGCUAGUUGGUGGGGUAAUGGCCUACCAAGGCGACGAUCCGUAGCUGGUCUGAGAGGAUGAUCAGCCACACUGGGACUGAGACACGGCCCAGACUCCUACGGGAGGCAGCAGUGGGGAACUAUUGGACAAUGGGCGCAAGCCUGAUCCAGCCAUGCCGCGUGAGUGAUGAAGGCCUUAGGGUUGUAAAGCUCUUUCAGCUGGGAAGAUAAUGACGGUACCAGCAGAAGAAGCCCCGGCUAACUUCGUGCCAGCAGCCGCGGUAAUACGAAGGGGGCUAGCGUUGUUCGGAAUCACUGGGCGUAAAGCGCACGUAGGAC
rnacentral:rRNA from 1 species